rnacentral:rRNA from 1 species
UGAGUACAGCGGCGCACGGGUGAGUAACACGUGGGUAAUCUGCCCUGGAGUGGGGAAUAACACCGGGAAACCGGUGCUAAUACCGCAUACGAUCACGGAGUCUGCGGAUUUUGUGAUGAAAGGAGCAAUUCGCUCUAGGAGGAGCCCGCGGCUGAUUAGCUAGUUGGUGAGGUAAUGGCUCACCAAGGCAACGAUCAGUAUCCGGUCUGAGAGGACGGUCGGACACACUGGAACUGAGACACGGUCCAGACUCCUACGGGAGGCAGCAGUGGGGAAUUUUUGGCAAUGGGGGCAACCCUGACCAAGCAACGCCGCGUGGGUGAUGAAGUCUCUUGGGACGUAAAACCCUUUCGACGGGGACGAAACCGCAAGGUUGACGGUACCCGUAGAAGAAGCCCCGGCUAACUCCGUGCCAGCAGCCGCGGUAAUACGGGGGGGGCAAGCGUUGUUCGGAAUUACUGGGCGUAAAGGGCGCGUAGGCGGUGCUCUAAGUCGGAUGUGAACACUCUGGGCUCAACCCAGAGCCUGCAUCCGAAACUGGAGUGCUAGAGUUCUGGAGGGGGUAGCGGAAUUCCUGGUGUAGCGGUGAAAUGCGUAGAUAUCAGGAGGAACACCGGUGGCGAAGGCGGCUACCUGGACAGAAACUGACGCUGAGGCGCGAAGGCUAGGGGAGCAAACAGGAUUAGAUACCCUGGUAGUCCUAGCCCUAAACGAUGGAUACUUGGUGU